rnacentral:rRNA from 1 species
CAAUAGCGUAUAUUAAAGUUGUUGCAGUUAAAAAGCUCGUAGUUGGAUUUCUGGUGGGAGCGAUCGGUCUGGCGCUUAGCGCGAGUACUUGCAUCGUCUCCGGCCAUCCUUGGGGAGAGUCUGUCUGGCAUUAGGUUGUCGGGCAGAGGAUCCUCAUCGUUUACUGUGAAAAAAUUAGAGUGUUCAAAGCAGGCUUUCGCUUGAAUACAUUAGCAUGGAAUAAUAAGAUAGGACUUUGGUGCUAUUUUGUUGGUUGAGCCUAAAGUAAUGAUUAAUAGGGAUAGUUGGGGGCACCUGUAUUGCGUUGUCAGAGGUGAAAUUCUUGGAUUUACGCAAGACAAACAGCUGCGAAAGCGUCUGCCAAGGAUGUUUUCAUUAA